rnacentral:rRNA from 1 species
GCCUAGCCGUAAACAAUUAACUCACACCAACCAACGCCAGGGAAUUACGAGCUAUGCUUAAAACCCAAAGGACUUGACGGUGUCCCACCCACCUAGAGGAGCCUGUUCUAUAAUCGAUGAUCCCCGAUACACCUAACCAUUCCUCGCCCAUCAGUCUGUAUACCUCCGUCGAAAGCCUACCAUGUGAACGCUUACAGUAGGCCCAAUGAUCCUCAUCAACACGUCAGGUCAAGGUGCAGCUUACGGAAUGGAAAGCAAUGGGCUACAAUUUCUAGUUUAGAACAAACGAAAGACUCUGUGAAACCUUAGUCAUGAAGGCGGAUUUAGUAGUAAAAGGAAAAUAGAGUGUUCCUUUUAACCUGGCUCUGGGACGCGU